AGUUUGAUCCUGGCUCAGCGCGAACGCUGGCGGCUUGCCUAACACAUGCAAGUCGUGCGGAGGGGCGAUGAGCCCCUCUAGCGGCAAACGGGUGAGUAACACGUGAGUAACCUUCCCCUGGGAAGGGGAUAACCCUCCGAAAGGGGGGCUAAUACCCUAUAUAGCCGGGGACCACUAAGGUCACCCGGUGAAAGGUGGCCUCUGCCCUUUAUGGGCAUGCUACCGUCCAGGGAGGGGCUCGCGGCCCAUUAGGUAGUUGGUGGGGUAACGGCCUACCAAGCCUAUGACGGGUAGCCGGCCUGAGAGGGUGGCCGGCCACAGUGGGACUGAGACACGGCCCACACCCCUACGGGGGGCAGCAGUGGGGGAAUCGUGGGCAAUGGGCGCAAGCUUGCACCCCGCGACGCCGCGUGGGGGGAUGAAGCCCUUCGGGGGUGUAAACCCAUGUCGGGGGGGACGAUGUGUCCUGGGGUGAAUAAUCCCAGGGCAUGACGGUACCCCCAGAGGAAGGGACGGCUAACUACGUGCCAGCAGCCGCGGUAAUACGUAGGUCCCGAGCGUUGCGCGGGUUCACUGGGCGUAAAGCGUCCGAGC
rnacentral:rRNA from 1 species